ACACUCCUAACAGCUAGCCUACCCACCCAAAUACAACAAUCAACAUUAAUUACCCAAAACUCCCCAAAAAGCAUCAAAUCAAACCAUUUUGCCUCCCUAGUAUGGGUGACAGAAAAGGAACUUAGUGCAAUAGAAAAAGUACCGCAAGGGAAUGCUGAAAGAGAAAUGAAAAAACCCAGUAAAGAAUAAAAAAGCAGAAAUAAUCCCUCGUACCUUUUGCAUCAUGAUUUAGCCAGACCCUCUCGAGCAAAGUGUGCUUUAGUUCGAGCCCCCGAAACUGAGCGAGCUACUCCAAGACAGCCUAACCAGGGCAAACCCGUCUCUGUAGCAAAAGAGUGGGAAGAUCUUUGAGUAGAGGUGACAGACCUACCGAGCUCAGUUAUAGCUGGUUGCCCACAAAAUGAAUAGAAGUUCAGCCUUUAACCUUCUUACCUCCCCCACUGUUUUUACCCCAAGUGACACAAAGAAGGCUAAAGAGUUAUUCAAAGGGGGAACAGCCCCCUUGAAAAAAGACACAACUUUACUUGCAGGCUAAAGAUCAGAGACUUUAAGGUAACAUACCUUAGUGGGCCUAAAAGCAGCCAUCCAAAAAGAAAGCGUUAAAGCUCAAGUACCCCUUUACUAAUAAUUUCGACAACACCAUCUUAAGCCCCUAGCAACAGUGGGCCUUUUCAUGCAAGCAUGAAAGAGACACUGCUAAUAUGAGUAAUAAGAGGAAUGCUCCUCUCCCUGACACCCGUGUACACCAGAACGAACCCCCACUGUAAAUUAACGCCCCCAACCUCAGAGGGAAUUGAGAAAAACCAAUAAACCAGAAAACCUCCCAAAAAUCUAGCGUUGACCCUACACAGGUGUGUCCCGGGAAAGACUAAAAGAAAAAGAAGGAACUCGGCAAACACUGGCCUCGCCUGUUUACCAAAAACAUCGCCUCUUGCAUAAUUUAUGAGUAUAAGAGGUCCCGCCUGCCCUGUGACUCACAGUUUAACGGCCGCGGUAUUUUGACCGUGCAAAGGUAGCGUAAUCACUUGUCUUUUAAAUGAAGACCUGUAUGAAUGGCAUAACGAGGGCUAAGCUGUCUCCUUUUUCCAGUCAAUGAAUUUGAUCUCCCCGUGCAGAAGCGAGGAUAGACACAUAAGACGAGAAGACCCUAUGGAGCUUCAGACAAAAGACAGCCCACGUAAAAACACCUCAAUAAAUAGAAAUAACAAAAUGGUGCCUGUCCUCUUGUCUUUGGUUGGGGCGACCACGGGGCAACAAAAAUCCCCCAUGUGGAAUGGGACCUUCCUCCUUAAAACAAGAGCUUCCGCUCUAGCAAACAGAAAAUCUGACCAAUAAGAUCCGGCAAAGCCGAUCAACGGACUGAGUUACCCUAGGGAUAACAGCGCAAUCCCCUUUUAGAGCCCAUAUCGACAAGGGGGUUUACGACCUCGAUGUUGGAUCAGGACACCCUAAUGGUGCAGCCGCUAUUAAGGGUUCGUUUGUUCAACGAUUAAAGUCCUACGUGAUCUGAGUUCAGACCGGAGAAAUCCAGGUCAGUUUCUAUCUAUGAGUGCUCUUUUCUAGUACGAAAGGACCGAAAAGAAGAGGCCCAUGCUAUAACUAAGCCUCGCCCCUACCUGCUGAAGACAACUAAAGCAGGUAAAAGGGCACAGCACUCUGCCUGAGAAAAAGGCAU
rnacentral:rRNA from 1 species